rnacentral:rRNA from 1 species
GAUGAACGCUGGCGGCGUGCCUAAUACAUGCGAGUCGAGCGAACGGACGAGAAACUUGCUUCUCUGAUGUUAGCGGCGGACGGGUGAGUAACACGUGGAUAACCUACCUAUAAGACUGGGAUAACUUCGGGAAACCGGAGCUAAUACCGGAUAAUAUUUUGAACCGCAUGGUUCAAAAGUGAAAGACGGUCUUGCUGUCACUUAUAGAUGGAUCCGCGCUGCAUUAGCUAGUUGGUAAGGUAACGGCUUACCAAGGCAACGAUGCAUAGCCGACCUGAGAGGGUGAUCGGCCACACUGGAACUGAGACACGGUCCAGACUCCUACGGGAGGCAGCAGUAGGGAAUCUUCCGCAAUGGGCGAAAGCCUGACGGAGCAACGCCGCGUGAGUGAUGAAGGUCUUCGGAUCGUAAAACUCUGUUAUUAGGGAAGAACAUAUGUGUAAGUAACUGUGCACAUCUUGACGGUACCUAAUCAGAAAGCCACGGCUAACUACGUG